UACGUAGGUGGCAAGCGUUGUCCGGAUUUAUUGGGUUUAAAGGGUGCGUAGGCGGUCUUAUAAGUCAGUGGUGAAAUACGGCAGCUCAACUGUCGAGGUGCCAUUGAUACUGUAGGACUUGAGUACAGACGAGGUAGGCGGAAUUGACGGUGUAGCGGUGAAAUGCUUAGAUAUCGUCAAGAACACCGAUAGCGAAGGCAGCUUACUAGGCUGUAACUGACGCUGAGGUGCGAAAGCGUGGGGAGCAAACAGG
rnacentral:rRNA from 1 species